UGGUGCAUGGUUGUCGUCAGCUCGUGUCGUGAGAUGUUGGGUUAAGUCCCGCAACGAGCGCAACCCCUACGUUUAGUUGCUAACGCGUGAAGGCGAGCACUCUAGACGAACUGCCGUUGACAAAACGGAGGAAGGUGGGAUGACGUCAAAUCAUCAUGCCCCUUAUGUUCUGGGCUACACACGUGCUACAAUGGCCGGUACAGACGGACGCAAAGCCGCGAGGUGGAGCAAAUCCUAAAAAGCCGGUCUCAGUUCGGAUUGCAGGCUGCAAUUCGCCUGCAUGAAGUCGGAAUCGCUAGUAAUCGCAGGUCAGCAUACUGCGGUGAAUACGUUCCCGGGCCUU
rnacentral:rRNA from 1 species